rnacentral:piRNA from 1 species
AGUGAGGUCAGGACAAGGCUAACAGCGCA